GAUGAACGCUGGCGGCGUGCCUAAUACAUGCAAGUCGAGCGAACAGACGAGGAGCUUGCUCCUCUGACGUUAGCGGCGGACGGGUGAGUAACACGUGGAUAACCCACCUAUAAGACUGGGAUAACUUCGGGAAACCGGAGCUAAUACCGGAUAACAUGUUGAACCGCAUGGUUUAACAGUGAAAGACGGUCUUGCUGUCACUUAUAGAUGGAUCCGCGCCGCAUUAGCUAGUUGGUAAGGUAACGGCUUACCAAGGCAACGAUGCGUAGCCGACCUGAGAGGGUGAUCGGCCACACUGGAACUGAGACACGGUCCAGACUCCUACGGGAGGCAGCAGUAGGGAAUCUUCCGCAAUGGGCGAAAGCCUGACGGAGCAACGCCGCGUGAGUGAAGAAGGUCUUCGGAUCGUAAAACUCUGUUAUUAGGGAAGAACAAAUGUGUAAGUAACUAUGCACGUCUUGACGGUACCUAAUCAGAAAGCCACGGCUAACUACGUG
rnacentral:rRNA from 1 species